GGCUGAAGUUAGUGAUUUAUCUCAAUUGUUGCAGAUCAAACUCCUUAUUCUACUCUUUCCCCCUUCUCACUACUGUAUUUGACUAUUCUUAA
rnacentral:Y_RNA from 1 species